rnacentral:rRNA from 1 species
AACAAACGCUGGCGGCGUGCCUAAUACAUGCAAGUCGAACGGGGAAAGCUUUCGGGUGAGUACUAGUGGCGCACGGGUGAGUAACGCGUGGAUAAUCUGCCUUAGAGUGGGGGAUAACUAGUCGAAAGAUUAGCUGAUACCGCAUAAGACCACAAGAACUGCGGUUCAAGGGGUCAAAGGUUUUUCGCUCUAAGAUGAGUCCGCGUAAGAUUAGCUAGUUGGUGAGGUAAUGGCUCACCAAGGCGACGAUCUUUAACUGGUCUGAGAGGAUGAUCAGUCACACUGGAACUGAGACACGGUCCAGACUCCUACGGGAGGCAGCAGUAGGGAAUAUUGCACAAUGGAGGAAACUCUGAUGCAGCGACGCCGCGUGAGUGAUGAAGGCCUUCGGGUCGUAAAGCUCUGUCGCAAGGGAAUAACACAAUGAAUGUACCUUGCAAGAAAGGAUCGGCUAACUUCGUGCCAGCCGCCGCCGUAAUAC